rnacentral:rRNA from 1 species
UAAAAAUAUGCUUAAUUUUAAGUUUUCUCGAAUUUAUAAGAGCUAAGAAUUUAUAAAUUUUAAUGUAGAAAAAUUAUUUAAAAUAUUUUCUUUGUAAUUAGACGUUAGUCGUUUUUAAAUAUAUCUAGUUUUUUAAGAAAUUAAUUUAAUUAAAUUGAUUUGAUAGAUUAGUUUUUAUAGAAAAUUAAUCUCGAAAUUAUUAAAUACUUAAGGGGAUAAGCUUUUAAGUAGAAUCCUAAAAAUAUAGUUUAUUAAAAAUUGAAUAGGAAUAGAAGUUUUCAUUUUUGGUAGUGUUUUAUAUCAAGAUUUUUAAAGAAGUGAUUUAUUUUUUUUUAGGUUUUUUAUUAAAAUAUUAAGAAGAAUUAAUAAUUUUAAAUGAUAAUGAUAAAAUAAGUAUAAUGUAUUGUUUAGAAUAUUGAUGAAUAAUAGGUUUAAUUAAGUAAUUCGGCAAAUAAAUUUUCUGCCUGUUUAUUAAAAACAUGGCCUUUUGUGAAUAAUUUAAGGUCUGGCCUGCCCAAUGAUUGUAAUUAAAUGGCCGCGGUACUUUGACCGUGCAAAGGUAGCAUAAUCAUUAGUUUUUUAAUUGAAAGCUGGAAUGAACGGUCAUACAAGAAAAUUACUGUCUCAAUUAAAUGGUUUUAGAAUUUUAUUUUUUAGUGAGAAGGCUAAAAUAUUUUUAGGGGACGAGAAGACCCUAUAGAAUUUUAUAAAUCUCUUUAUAUUGAAGUUUUGGUUUUAUUUUUAUUUAAUUUGGGGAGAUUUAUUUUGUUGGGGUGAUAGAAAAAUUUAAAUAACUUUUUUUAGUUUAAUUCACUUAUUUGUGUGUAUAUGAUCCAUUAAUAGUGAUUAUAAGAUUAAAUUACCUUAGGGAUAACAGCGUUAUUAAUUUGGAGAGUUCUUAUCGAUAAAUUAGUUUGCGACCUCGAUGUUGGAUUAAAAUUAACUUUUGGUGGAGGAGCUAAAAGGUUAAGUCUGUUCGACUUUUAAAAUUUU